UACGUAGGGGGCAAGCGUUGUCCGGAAUCAUUGGGCGUAAAGCGCGCGUAGGCGGCCCGGCAAGUCCGCUGUAAAAGCCCAGGGCUCAACCCUGGAAAGCCGGUGGAUACUGUCGGGCUAGAGUCCGGAAGAGGCGAGUGGAAUUCCUGGUGUAGCGGUGGAAUGCGCAGAUAUCAGGAGGAACACCGAUGGCGAAGGCAGCUCGCUGGGACGGUACUGACGCUGAGGCGCGAAAGCGUGGGGAGCGAACAGG
rnacentral:rRNA from 1 species